rnacentral:rRNA from 1 species
CCAAUAGCGUAUAUUAAAGUUGUUGCAGUUCAAAAGCUCGUAGUUGAAUUUCGGGGUUAGUAGGUUGGUCGUGCCACUGGUAUGCACUGGUUCUACUGAUCCCUCCUUCUUGUAGAACCGUAAUGCCAUUAAUUUGGUGUUGCGGGGAAACAGGACUGUUACUUUUAAAAAAUUAGAGUGUUUAAAGCAGGCUAACGCUUGAAUACAUUAGCAUGUAAUAAUGAAAUAGGACGAUCGCUCCUAUUUUGUUGGCUUCUAGGAUUGACGUAAUGAUUAAUAGGGAUAGUUGGGGGCAUUAGUAUUCAAUUGUCAGAGGUGAAAUUCUUGGAUUUAUUGAAGACUAACUACUGCGAAAGCAUUUGCCAAGGAUGUUUUCAUUAAUCAAGAACGAAAGUUAGGGGAUCGAAGACGAUCAGAUACCGUCGUAGUCUUAACCAUAAACUAUGCCGACUAGGGAUCGGAUGAUGUUAAUUUUUUAAUGACUCAUUCGGCGCCUUACG